UCCUCUUAGCAUCUUUUUAUGGUGAAAGCUAUGUGGAGUUCAACAUCAUAGAAGUUUCCUCUGAGCUAUCUCUUCAAUUAAAAUUUCAUACCAGCAAACCACAGGGAUUACUUUUGCUUGCAGCUGGGACAAAUGACUAUUGUAUAAUAGAACUUAAAUCAGGAACCUUAUGGGUGAGAGUAAAUUUGGGUACAAGUGAACAAAUGCUCCUUUCUGAGCAGAGACUUCAUAUGGAUGACCUGGUUUGGCAUUUGGUGGAACUGUGCUAUGUUAAGCAUAAUAUUUCCUUUGUUAUUGACAAACGUUAUGAGACAACUGGCCAAAUGGCAGCUGGUGGGAUGCAUAAUUUGAAUUUUCAACAUGGAAUCUAUGUAGGAGGCCGCAGGGCACUCAAUGUACCUUAUCUGUACGGAAAGCUCCCCAAUUUUUGAGGAUGUAUGAAGGAUGUGGUAUUUAACCAGAGGGAGAUCCUUACGUCCCUUAGAUCUUACCCUGGUUUUAAGAAGGUUUAUGAGGUGUCACUAGGAUGCAAUGACGAGUUUUUUUUGCAGGAGAGGAUGAAGCCAUCAAUUUCUUUAGCUCCAGAUUCUCUGUCACUUUUCCAGAAUGGAAAGUGCAAGGGUAAACACUAUUGGAAUUUACUUUGCAAACUGUAACUCAGCAAGCCUUGCUUUCAUUUCAGUUGGGUAAGGAAGGAGAUUUUGUUGCUUUGUAAAUAGAUGAAGGUCUAUUGAAGGCUUAUGUAGGAAGGCAUAAAAGUAAAACUCAGCUUUCUUCUUUCAGUUUUGUCAGUGACAACAAGUGGCAUGUUAUUCAAUUCAAAUUCACAGGGGAGUAUCUGGACCUAACAGUAGAUGAAAAAAAGGUAAGGAAGUCACUGCCUUUGCAAAGCAAACAUUUGUAUCUGAAGGAGCCCUUUUUGUGGGAGGUCUUGAUAACCAAAUGUGGGAAGAAGUAAAGGGUUAGAACUUGCCUCUGUGCCUGGGAAAUUUGCUCGAGGAACCUCUUUCAAAGGGUGCUUAAGAAGCUUGGAAGCCAAUUCAGAAAAGAGAGCAUUAAGGGAUGCCCUUGUUUUCAAAGAUAUUCCUGCUGUUGUAAAACUGAGAGUGUUGAUAACACAAAUCCUUCCGUAACAGCGAUAGAAAAUCUGCAUCAGUCAGAAGUUUUCCUUUCCACUGUCGUCCCUGAGGUCAUCAAGCCUUUUCUUCAAGAUGAGAGUAGCGAUUUCUUGGUUUUGAAUAACUUGGAGGUCCAAGAAGGUGGACCUUACUGAAACAAAGGCACAUGAAACUGGAUGUGAAAUUUAAGGAUUUGGGUAUCCAUCAUUCUCAAAUACUAUUUAAAAUAGAGGGAAGGCCUAUUCAUGGGUUCCUUCAAUUAGAUGUGCCACCUGAGCAAGAAAUGGAGACAGCUUUUACCAUGUUAGACUUAUGGCAAGGAAAAGUUUGAUAUGUCCACGAUGGUUCAGAAGAACCUAUGGAUUAUUUUACAUUUUUGGUUUCUCGCAAUAGCAAGAAAGAAAUGCCAUUGUAUCUGCAAGAAUGUGUUCCACAUGUGUUUAACAUUAUUGUCAUUCCAGUCAAUGAUCCCCCAUACCUUAAGGUACCAGAAGGAAACUUGCUUCUUCUAUUUGAGAACUCUAAGAAACAACUGACCCCAAGUAUGAUAGACAUGUCAGACCCUGACACAGAUUCUUUGAGUCUUUGUAUUUCAGUUCUUGGCAACUUCAAUUCAGAUGCUGGGGUUUUAGAAAAUGCAGGUGAUCCUGGGAAUGCCAUUAAUCAUUUUACACAUGAAGAUUUAAGAGAUGGCAACAUUUUCUAUGUGCACAGGGGUCAUCGAAACUCUCAGAUUGUUCUGAGAGCAAGUGAUGGAGAGCUGGUUAGUAAUACAGCAGUGGUGCGGAUCAUGGCUGUUUCUUGGGACUUUGCAGUGGCCGUUAGAACUGGUGUGGUCGUAGAACAGGGUGGCACUCCUCUGAUUACAUGGAGUAACUUGUCAGUGGAGGUUAAUGGUGAAUGGCAUGAGAUGGAGACCCGCUCUGACAUCACUCAUCCACCUCAGUAUGGCCAGAUUCAGCGGUGAGGGUCAAGUGGGAAAUGGAAACAAGUUAGUACCUUUUCUCAGUGUUCUGUUGAUCGGAGUCGGAUCCAGUACUAUAGUACAUUGAAAGAAUUGCAGCUAGAAAAUGUUAUAGAUCAUUUUAAAUUUAAAGUUAACAUAGAAGGAAAAGUCAGUGAAGAGCUGAUAUUUCCAAUUACAACACAAUGGCUGAAGUUUAUCCUGAAAAAUGUUCCUCUAGAGAUGAGUCAACUAAACAAGAACAUAUUGAAUUCUGAUCAUUUGCAGGCUGCAACAGAGGGUGUGGAAGUAGCUGAGAGGGAACUACAUUUUAAGUUAUUGAUCCCAUCUAAGAAAGGAAAAUUGGUACUUGGCAAUAAAGUUCUAAAAACAAACUCAAUCUUCAGCCAAAAAAAUAUUACAGACUCUAAGAUAAGUUAUGAACCUCAGGAGAGGCCAAGGGAAGACUCACAGGAUACUUUUAGGUUUUUGGUUGUUGCAAAAUACAUAGACUCAAAAGAUUAUACUUUCAGAAUCAAGCUUAAAGCAGAUAAGACAUACUUUAUUUUAACUAACAGAGGAUUAUGUGUAAAAGAAGGAGAAGGAGAAGGAAAAUUAAUUACGAAAUCAGAACUAUUUGUUCAAAUUUUGGACAAUCAGAUCUUCCAAUAUAAAAUCUCCAAGGGCCCUCAACAGGGGAAGCUGAAACUGCUUAACUUGUCUGAUUCUCUGGAAAGUAAUGACAAUAUCACUAUGUUCACAAAUCAAGAGAGAGGGAGGGAACAGGUGAUCUAUGUUCAUGAUGACUCUGAGACUGAGUCUGAUGAGUUCUUUGUUGUGGCCUUCACCAAAGGACCAGGGGGGAAGAGUCAGGGAUCUUGACUCAGAGCAUUCAUCUACGGAAAUAAAAGUCACACUUUCCGUUGGGUUAAAGAAUGAUGAGAAAGCAGUACACAUGAUAGAUAAGGUCUUUCAUGUUGUGUGGAAUGGCCAGUGCUUAUUGACCCUGGCAGAUCUCUGUUACCAUGACCCUGACUUAGAUUUUGAUAAUGGGCAGUUGCUGUACACCCAGCGGGGCAUCCCAAAUGGGGAUUUGGUGUGAGGCAGAGACCCCACUCAGAAACUCUACCAGUUCAGGCAAGAAGACCUGCGGGAAGGGCACGUGCUUUUCAGGCAUCAGGGUGCAGACUCGGAUUGCUUCGUGCUGUUUGUGACAGAUGGUGUCCACUACACAUCAUCUCUUCUCAAGGUCAGUGUGUCAGACCCUUAUGUCCAGAUAGCCAACAACACGGGGCUGCUCAUACAGAGAGGAAAGGAUGGCAGCCUCACAGUGGCCAACCUAAGUGUCACCACAAACCAAAAUGUCAGAACAGACCACAAGAUUGAAUUCCACAUUGUGCAGGCCCUAAAGUAUGGCAGGAUCCUGGUCAAUCAUCCUGUUUCCCACUCAUUUUCUCAGGAUGACUUGAUGAUGUGUGAUUUACAGGCAUGAUGGCAGUGAUGACUUUGAUGUAUUCAACCUGAGAGUGAAAGUUAAAGCCACAUACUUAGAGGUGAGAAUGGGUGUCUAUGUUCAAGUGUGCUUGGAAGGUCACCCACAUCACACGCAGGUUCUGCACAUCAAGACUCUUGUAGUUGAAGAAAGAAAACCAGUAAAACUGAAUACAGGAAGGCUCCAGGCAUGAAGAUAAUAUUCCUUCAGAGGCAGUGUUCAUAGUCGGAACUCCACCAAUGCAUGGAUACCUCCAAAAAUUUAUACCAGAAGGCGGCAGCUUGGGUGCAGAUGAAAAGUCCCUUUGGCUUUUACACAACCGGAUGUGGAGGAUGGCAAUAUCCUUUAUGUGCAGACAUCCCCCAACCAAGAACAGGACUGUUUUUCCCUGGAUGUGAUGAAUGGUUUCCAAGUUGUGGGCAGAGUCGAAAUCUUGGUGGACACCACGCCUAAGUGGAUUUUUCUGCAGGUACAGAAUUUCACAGUUCAAGAAGGUGGCUCCAGAGCACUUCUAGAAGACUACCUCAAAAUUCCAAGCAAAUAUUUUGAGGGAUUUGACUGUGAAUUUGUUCUACUUAAACCACUGAAACACAGUUAUGUUAAAAGUUAUAAUUUUCCAAGAGGAAAGCUAAUGAAAUUUAUUGGGAAACAGGUAAUAACUCUCAGUUUAUGUAAUUGGUAUGCUCAUGAUGACAGCGAGAAGCUUCAUGACAAUUUCACCAUCUUUGCGAAUAGCUCAGAGCUUGGAAAACAGAGUCUGCCCCAAACUCUUUUUGUGACUGUUGAAUCUGUAAAUGAUGAAGCUCCAUUGGUAACAGCCAAUAACAUCCUUCAGGUAAGGGCUACUUCUUUUGACUUAUCCAGUGGUGACCUCUGUGCAGAAGAUGGGGACUCCUCUCCACAGGACCUGGCCUACUGGGUCACUACACCCAGCAAUGGGCAUUUGGCUCUUAAGUCCUUUCCCAGCCAAAGCAUUCAGAACUUCUCCCAGGCACAAAUCAAUGAGGGCCAGCUAGUUUUUGUACAAGCCAGUGCCCCCUAUUACAACCAAGUUAUAACCAAGUGUUUUCCAGAGAGUUUUCAGGGAUCUAUACAGAUUAUUUUGUUAACUGGCAGCUCUUCUGUGCUUUAUACUUACAUACAUGUUUUAAUCUUCACUUAGGUUCUGUGAAGCCCCUUUCAUCUCAUGACCUGAAAGCUGUGACCAAUGAUGUGGACAGUGCGGGAAACAGAACUAUAACUUUUCCAGUCGUAAGUUCCCCUAGACUCAGGAGGUUGGUGAGACUGAACUCUGACAGCAGCACAGAGGAAGUUUCUGUUUUUACCCAAUAUCAUCACCCCUGAAACCAGGAGCUAAUUUCUCUUACUGUUUGGUCAGGUCAGUGAAGGGUUGAUAUUAUACCAGCACGUAGACUGUGAGAACACUGGCUGGACUGCGGAAGAAUCCUUUACAUUCACAGCCUCCUCCCCAUCAGCAGCCCUGGGACCCGAGGAGUUCUGUAUUACUAUUUCAUAUGAUAUCAAUGAGCCUGGUCAGCAGAGUUGUCUGCUUGCAAAUACAGGUACAGGAGCUUCUGUCAAGGAGGGAGACAAGGUUCUGAUUGGCCAAUUUAAGUUAGAUGCUUCCAACCUCUUAUUUAAAUUGCCUGAAUCUCAGUGCUUUUCCCGUGAAAUUUGGUUCCAAGUGACAUCUCUUCCUCACCACAGAACAAUUAUGGUUGGAAAAAGAAAUAUUACCAAAGGUAAACCCAGUUUCUACCAGUAUAUAAUUAAUAAAUUUGGAAUUACAUACAUUCAUGAUGACUCUGAAUCACUGGCUGAUAAUUUUACCUUUGUCGUUUGGCCAAACCAAAAGAGCAAGUCCACCACCAAGCCAGAAGCUGACUUUCUUGAAGAGAUGUUUAAUAUCACCAUCUCUCCAGGUAAUAUUAUUAUAAUGACCAGGCACCAGAAUUAAAGACAAAGGGGCUUCAGUUGAAAGUUCUGCAGGGCAGUAGGUUGGCUGUGGGACCUGAACAUCUGAAAAUGGAAGAUCUGGACAGUCCUCCAGAUGAAAUCAGAUAUAUGAUCAUCCGUAAUCCUAAUAAUGGCUUUUUGACAAUGGCUUACCUUCUGGACACAGCUGUUCACCAUUUUACACAAGCUGACAUUGAUAACUCUCAGGUGUGUUUCACACAGGAUGGAAGCCCUUCCUCUGGAAUGUUCCACUUUAGUGUGACAGAUGGUGCACACCACAGCCUCUAUAAACUCUUCCACCUGGAUGUCAUUCCCAUCUCCAUCAGCAUUGUGAACCUUACUGACCUACUUCUCCCACAAGGCCAGACAACCAUCCCCAUCACCAAUGCUCACCUGUCAGCCAUGACCAAUGGGAGGAACCCCCAAAUCACUUACAUGAUAACAUGGCCCCUCCAACACGGGCACCUGCUGAUUGAAGACCAGGUGGUCACCAACUUUGGACAGGAAGAUUUGGAUUCAAGAAGACUCUUUUAUCACAUGACAAAUCUCACUGCCACACAGGACCAGCUACAGUUCUCGCUGUUUACAUCAGAAAGCAACCUGACAGGACAAACACUGAACAACAGAGUGCAGCCUUUACUGCGGGUUAUGCCAAACCUGAAAAUUGCCGACAGAGUGGCUCAUCAGCUGAGAAGAAGGGACCUAGAUGCUACCGAUACUAUCGAGCUUGCUAAUAUGACUGACAGUGAUCCCAAAUUUGAAGUGACAGAGCCCCCUGUACAUAGAAGGCUGGGAUGAAGAGGGGUUGUACAGCACAGUGAUAGAAGAGGCUACUGUAUUCACUCAGAGGGACAUUGACCAAGGGUGGCUGGUAUUCCACCCACAGGCGUGGGGAUGCUGAACGACUCCUUCACUUUCUUGCUCAGGCCAGAUCAUGUACAGCCAGUGAUAUGUUAUCUCCCCUUCACCAUAGUGCCGCCUGACCCCUCACUUUUGCAAACAUUUACACCAAGUGUUCCUUUAUUUGUCACUGGAGACAACCUUGUAACCUCAGUUAUCUCUCAGGAAAAGCCUGUGAUUUCCUCAAGACUUGCGGCACAGACAGAAACUUUAGGGAAACUGACCCAGACCAGAUGGCAGAAAGAAGAUCCCUGGGGACAGCAGUGGUGAAGAGCCCAGUGUGGAUGGCAGAGUUUCUGCCAUCAAGGUCAUUUGGCCACCAGCCACCACUAAUAGUCAGCUUUUGGGUACCCAUGCAGCCCAGAGAGAGCAGUUACCCUCUGAUGGUCAUCAUACCCUUGGCUGCCAUGGUCUUCGUGCUGAAAGUGGCUGCAGUGGCCAUGUGUGUCUGGUUGUUGAGCCAGAAGGUAGAAAAGGCAAAACCCCUUAUCAAGCCCCAGACCAAUCCGGAACACACAACCCCAAGUCAUAGGCCACAAAGGAGCAUAAAGUUCCCACUGUCACAGUGACACCCCUUCUGCAAAGCUCCAGCAGCCCC
rnacentral:sRNA from 1 species